GGACUGUAGCUCAGUGGCAGAGCACCUGCCUUGGGUGCAGAAGGCUCAGGGUUCAAUCCCCGAUGGCAUCUCCA